rnacentral:rRNA from 1 species
GUCUCCGGCUACACCACCCUGAACGAGCCCGAUCCCGUCUGGUCUCAGAAGCUAAGCAGGGUCAGGCCUGGUUAGUACUCAGGUGGGAGACCACCUAGGAAGAUCGGGUGCUAUAGGUG